rnacentral:piRNA from 1 species
UUCUAAGGAACACAAUACAA